UACGUAGGGUCCAAGCGUUAAUCGGAAUUACUGGGCGUAAAGCGUGCGCAGGCGGUUGUGUAAGUCAGAUGUGAAAUCCCCGGGCUCAACCUGGGAAUUGCAUUUGAGACUGCACGGCUAGAGUGUGUCAGAGGGGGGUAGAAUUCCACGUGUAGCAGUGAAAUGCGUAGAGAUGUGGAGGAACACCGAUGGCGAAGGCAGCCCCCUGGGCCGAUACUGACGCUGAAGCACGAAAGCGUGGGGAGCAAACAGG
rnacentral:rRNA from 1 species